AAUUUUGAGAUUUGCUGCUUUUUCCAAAUCUUAGUCUAGGUUAAUUUGAUCGUGAAAUUUAGAGUACAGCAUUGAUUUCAACUCUUGAAUGCGGGUUUCGUCUUUUUCCAUGGAAGAUCUUAAUACGUCGACUUGCUUUUCCAAACUUUCUUCUGACUGCUCAAGCUGGUCAAGGAGUACAGGAAGGGAAACUUGGAAAAAGGCAUCGCCAACCUUUAAAGCUGGAAUAUCGUCUCCAUCAUCCUCGUCUAGUAAUUCACAUUCAUUUUUAGCGUCAACAAUAUCCUCUAUUUGCGUUUUUAAAUUCUUAAUAUCAAGUUCUUGAAUGGCCUUUCGAGAAUGCAACACUGAAAAUUCAUUUAAAUUCCUUUGAUCUUCUGCUAGAACAGGAACUUGUUCCAUAUUUGUUGCUAAGGUGUGUUAGGAGGAAUAGUAUAUAACCCGGUUUCGUUUGUCUUAACAAACAAUUGUUGGUGUAGAGAUCAAUGCGGUCAAGUAGAGGUUUAAGUGGAACAGUUGAAUGAUAUGUCAAAACAGAAGGAUUAUUAAUUAGUAUAGUAUUUUAUCUACAAAUUUAAAGAACAAAAGCUAUUUUCUACAAUUGAGGUCUUCAGAUCCGUAAUGUUUUUGCUGUCAAAUAACAGGUCAAAAUUUUACUAUAGAUUCACAGGGUAUUAUAAACUAAAACCAGAGAAUACGGAUUAAAUUGACUUUUAAUUUAGUUUUAAUCAUGGGGAAUAAUAUUUAAUAAGACAAAGUCUUAGCAAGCAUACCCGUUUAUAACAGGUUAUCUUUAGGAUUUUUCGGCAUCGUCAACUGCUUUUAUUAUAGGCUGAGUUAGCGGAGAAAGGACUUGAUGAAUAUAUAGCAACCAAAGAGAGAGAUACUUGGGAUCCUCUUUGUCUAUCUGAAGCAUUUCGAAAUAAUCACGCGUACGACAUGGAUGGAUAUACCAUGCUAUGCCUACUGUACCUGGACAGUCCCCAAUAGCAAGAGCGUCAUAUGCUAAAUUUUGACUGGAUCCUUCUAAUAACUCAAAAAUCUGUUCCAUCUUGGUAAGAGGAUCUGAUCCGUUUGCAUAAGGUUGAAAGAAGAACUGCGGGACUUCGAAGGAUGGAGAAUCCCUAAUCCAGGCGUGCAUAGUGAUCAUUGGAUUCAUAAGGCUUAAAAUAUCAUCUUCUUCCUGCUCGUAUAAUAAGGAAUCAUUUUUAUCAAGUAGCUCAGUAUGCCAUUCUAACUUCAAAAUACACUCAUCAAACUCAAUCAACUCACAAGAAAUACCACCUUUCGACAGCUUCUGAGCAAGGAUAAGUAAUUGAGACUUAAAGCUCAUUAUUGUCACGGUUAGCCAAUUUAAUCACUUUAUCUUUGCUAAAGCAAUAAGUAAUUGAAGAAGGAAUUAUUGUCCCAUAAGCCUGGCUACAGUCUGAUUGUUCAACGCACUAUUCCAAUGAGGGCAAUAGAGGCAAUCACCUGUCAAUAUAUUUGAAGUUAAGUCUCGAC